UACGGAGGGUGCAAGCGUUGUUCGGAAUUAUUGGGCGUAAAGGGCGCGUAGGUGGUUGUGAUAGUCAGAUGUGAAAUCCUUCGGCUCAACCGAAGAACUGCAUCUGAAACUUCAUAGCUCGAGUACAGGAGAGGGAAACGGAAUUCCCGGUGUAGAGGUGAAAUUCGUAGAUAUCGGGAGGAACACCAGUGGCGAAGGCGGUUUCCUGGCCUGAUACUGACGCUGAGGCGCGAAAGCGUGGGGAGCAAACAGGAUUAGAUACC
rnacentral:rRNA from 1 species